rnacentral:rRNA from 1 species
UACGAAGGGGGCUAGCGUUGCUCGGAAUCACUGGGCGUAAAGCGCACGUAGGCGGAUUGCUAAGUCAGGGGUGAAAUCCUGGAGCUCAACUCCAGAACUGCCUUUGAUACUGGCGACCUUGAGUCCGGGAGAGGUGAGUGGAACUGCGAGUGUAGAGGUGAAAUUCGUAGAUAUUCGCAAGAACACCAGUGGCGAAGGCGGCUCACUGGCCCGUAACUGACGCUGAGGCACGAAAGCGUGGGGAGCAAACAGG